UACGUAGGUGACAAGCGUUGUCCGGAUUUACUGGGCGUAAAGAGCGCGCAGGCGGUCUGUUGCGUCGGGCGUGAAAACUCAGGGCUUAACCCUGAGCCUGCUUCCGAUACGGGCAGACUAGAGGUAUGCAGGGGAGAACGGAAUUCCUGGUGUAGCGGUGAAAUGCGCAGAUAUCAGGAGGAACACCGGUGGCGAAGGCGGUUCUCUGGGCAUUACCUGACGCUGAGGAGCGAAAGUGUGGGGAGCGAACAGG
rnacentral:rRNA from 1 species